UACGGAGGGUGCAAGCGUUAUCCGGAUUCACUGGGUUUAAAGGGUGCGUAGGUGGGUUGGUAAGUCAGUGGUGAAAUCUCCGGGCUUAACUCGGAAACUGCCGUUGAUACUAUCAAUCUUGAAUGUUGUGGAGGUAAGCGGAAUAUGUCAUGUAGCGGUGAAAUGCUUAGAUAUGACAUAGAACACCGAUAGCGAAGGCAGCUUGCUACACAAUAAUUGACACUGAGGCACGAAAGCGUGGGAUCAAACAGG
rnacentral:rRNA from 1 species